rfam:Picea glauca, whole genome shotgun sequence.
GUAAUGGUUUCAUUAGAAACCACCCUUUCUCUUCAAAAAUUUGUAU